rnacentral:rRNA from 1 species
UACGUAGGUGACAAGCGUUGUCCGGAUUUACUGGGCGUAAAGAGCGCGCAGGCGGUCGUUCAAGUCGAGUGUGAAAGCCCCCGGCUCAACUGGGGAGGGUCACUCGAUACUGAUCGACUGGAAGGCAGGAGAGGGUAGUGGAAUUCCCGGUGUAGUGGUGAAAUGCGUAGAUAUCGGGAGGAACACCAGUGGCGAAGGCGACUACCUGGCCUGUUCUUGACGCUGAGGCGCGAAAGCUAGGGGAGCAAACGGG